rnacentral:rRNA from 1 species
GAUGAACGCUAGCGGCAGGCCUAACACAUGCAAGUCGAGGGGUAGAGGAAGCUUGCUUCCUUGAGACCGGCGCACGGGUGCGUAACGCGUAUGCAAUCUACCUUAUACAGGGGAAUAGCCCAGAGAAAUUUGGAUUAAUGCCCCAUAGUGUUAUUGAAUCGCAUGGUUUAGUAACUAAAGUUCCAACGGUAUAAGAUGAGCAUGCGUCCCAUUAGUUAGUUGGUAAGGUAACGGCUUACCAAGACGAUGAUGGGUAGGGGUCCUGAGAGGGAGAUCCCCCACACUGGUACUGAGACACGGACCAGACUCCUACGGAGGCAGCAGUGAGGAAUAUUGGUCAAUGGGCGCAAGCCUGAACCAGCCAUGCCGCGUGCA